CCUACGGGUGGCAGCAGUGAGGAAUAUUGGUCAAUGGGCGCUAGCCUGAACCAGCCAAGUAGCGUGAAGGAUGACUGCCCUAUGGGUUGUAAACUUCUUUUAUAUGGGAAUAAAGUGCAGUAUGUAUACUGCUUUGCAUGUACCUUAUGAAUAAGGAUCGGCUAACUCCGUGCCAGCAGCCGCGGUAAUACGGAGGAUUCGAGCGUUAUCCGGAUUUAUUGGGUUUAAGGGGAGCGUAGGCGGGUUGUUAAGUCAGUUGUGAAAGUUUGCGGCUCAACCGUAAAAUUGCAGUUGAUACUGGGGAUCUUGAGUGGGCGAGAAGUAUGCGGAAUGCGUGGUGUAGCGGUGAAAUGCAUAGAUAUCACGCAGAACUCCGAUUGCGAAGGCAGCAUACCGGCGCCCGACUGACGCUGAGGCACGAAAGCGUGGGGAUCGAACAGGAUUAGAUACCCCGGUAGUC
rnacentral:rRNA from 1 species